UAAUAAUAAAAAAACCAGAAGACUAGAAUAAAAACAGAGUGCCUGUCUUAGAGAGUGAAAGAGAGAGAGAGAACUCGGUCACAAUGAGAGGCCAUUUCCUCACCGUGGGAGGAGAUCUAAAGACCAUGAGCCACUGCCUGAGGAGACUCUCACCUCCCGCUGGGUCUCCCAGACCUGGGAGCGUACGUUGGCUGCACACUGCGCUGUGGUCUCCUGAUGGCGCUGGAGCAGGAGCCAGGACCAACUUCCUGCAGGAUGGACGCACAGCAGGUCCUAUUGUCGCUGGAAGCCUGCCUUCCUCUUGGGAUGACCUGUGCUCGCAGGGCUGUGCUUCAGCAAUUUAUCCCAAGCAAAGAUGAGACCCGUCACCUGCAGGAGGAACUGGUUUAUCCAUUUGAGCUUGUUUUUGUGGCGGCCAUAGAAAAGACGGGGCGGCUUAAACAAUGGGAAUUGAUUGCCUCUCAGUUCUGGAGGCCAAAGUCCGAGAUCAAGGUGUCAGCAGGUUGGUUCCUUCGAGGCCGUGAGAAUCUGCUCCAGGCUCUCCCCCAGCUUCUGGUGGUUUCCCACAGUGUGGCGUUCCUUGGCUUGUAGAUGCGUCACCUGAUCUGAUUUCUGCCCCAUCGUCACAUGGCGUUCUACCUGUGUGUCUCUGGGUCUAAAUUUCCCCUUUUUUAGGGACAUCAGUCAUCCUGGAUUAGGGCCACCCUACUCCAGUGGGACCUCAUCUUAACCAGUCACAUUUGCAGGGACCCUUUCCAAAUAAGGUCACAUUCUGAGGUACUGGAGGUCAGGACUUCACCACGUGAACUUUAAGGACCCCUAAUACCACCUGCCAACACAGACCUUCAGGCCAGUUUCUGGGAAAGGGCCCAUCAGGCCCAGGGGAGUUUCCCCGCUGGAUGUUGACUGCAUUUUCUAAAAAUAAAAGCAAAUACUUUGCACUUUCUUCUAAUUAAGAAACAGAGCACAGCUCAGGGAGCCUUGUCUUCUUGCUAUUUUAUUUCCUCUCAUGGUUGGAUGUGGCCCCUGACGCCGGGGCCCCGGCUGGGGGGCGUGGCGCCCACGUUUCCAAGGAGACUGCAGACGUGGCUCCCACGGCUGCCUCGGGAGGACCCACGCAGUCGGUCGGAAGCUGUGAGCGAUCCGCGUGCAGAGUCCACUGGGGCCUCAAACCCGUCACCGGAGCACCUCUCGGAAGAGGCUGUGGUCCAGCAGGGAAAGCGCCAUCUCUAAGCCACGUCGACGUGUGCUCCAUUUGUCAGGUUGCUUCUACGGCCGCGACGCCAAAGCAUUCCGGUUUCUUGUUCGUGGGCUGAAAGUGUUUUUGUCCUGAGCCUGGUUGCUGUGGACAGAAAAAUGUGUACGGAAAUUCAACUGGCACGUGGUCGCCAGUAACAGUGAGAACAGUAAUGAUGCUGCCUCGAUGUGCCUCUAGCAUCUCACAUAAGAGAAACGGCCCCACAAACCCGUGGAUCCCUGCCCGUGGCUGCCCUCGGGCCACGUGUGGACGCGCAUGGUGAUGGAGACGGUGAUAACUGGCUUGUGGACGGGCCUGGCACUGUCAUGUGCAUCAUUUAUGCCCAACAGGCUCAUGAGACAGGCAUGCGUGUCUCCUCUGGAACAGGAAGUUGUUUAAGGAACAGACUGGUUAGCAGUCCUGACCACUAGGGUAAAAAGCUACAUCACUUGUCUUGUCUGUUCUAGAAAAGUGCAGACUUUGCAGCCACACCACGAUCACCGAAAGAACAGCUGUCUCCCGGGGGUGACUCCUCUGUGAGCAUCAGAAACUCGGACAGCAAGCCUGGCGGCACCUUCUAGGAAAACCUGCAAAGCCCACUCUCCCCAGAGGUCCAAAGCACCAUAAGCAGGACCCAAGAAUGCACUGCCCGGGAAGGUGCCGUGCUGGGCCCAGGGUAGCUGCAUACAGCAGGCGCUCCAUAAAGACUUCUGAGAGAGUCCGUGAUUGAACCUAGUACCUGCCAAAUUCCCUACCUUCUCCCAAGAGCUACUUAAAUCCACCCCUCUCCAAAGAACCAGCUGAUAGUCCUAAGAGAUCCACCAUUUGUACUUGUGUGCCUUGUAUCUGGCUAGAUAGAUGAGAGAGAGAUACGUAGAUAGAUAUAGAGAUGAUUAGCAACAUAGAGAUAGAUUUAAUUUGGGGAAAAGAAAGCUUAUCGUAUAAGAUGGUCUUUUGACUUGAAAAGCAGUUUCCUCAAGUCAGUAACCUUUAUUCCUUUUGGGUGAACUCGUGGUCAUUUGCAGCCAUUUUCUAAUCAAAGCAUGCCUGUGCCUAGGGUUGUCCAUUUCCCCCUAUAUUUGCCCUUAAUCCUCCUCCAUGCACGUAAGCGGAAGUGGACCUAAACCACACAGCAACGCUAAACAUGUGGCAGUCACUGGACUGGAAGUCCCUCCAGGACAAGCGCCAGGAAGCAGUAGUUUGUGUCCCGCCCUCAGGCCUGGAAGCCAGUCUCUGGCACACAGUGGCUGCUGACGAAUGUUUGCUAAAGAAAUGAGUGAGCACAGGAAUAACAAACGCAUAAUUAUCAAUAAGACGUAAUCAUGAAGAAUAGUGAGUAACUGUUCCCCUGUAACUGAAAAUCAUCACCAUGACGGCGAAGUUAUGCCCUCGAGGCACCCGCCAUGUGCCGGCGCUGUCGGGUUGAACACCCCAUUAGACCCCACGCCAAUUUUCUGUGGGCCAUGUCAUCUUAGGCCAUUUCACAGGUGUGGGCUCUCAGGCCCAGAGGCUGCGUAACUCUCCCCUAGCGAGCCCUGGGGUGUGAGCCCAGGGACCUGCAAGAGACCCCAGGGGUGAUUCGAGCCCCUUUCAAGGACACCUGGAGAACCUGCACCAGAGAGUGUCCCGGAGGCCACUCACAGCAGUACUGACCAGCUCUGAGGACUAGGUCUCGGUUUCUCUAACUCUGACGGCCGCCCAGCGCCUCUGCCUGUCUUUCGCUUGGCUGAUUCCACCUGCGCUAAGUGCUGGAAAGGUCGCCGCCGAACAAUGAGGCGCUGGUCUACUGCUCAAGUGUUGACUGCAGGAGAUGAUUUCCACCUAAGGAGCCGGCAGCAAGCGCUUCCCGCCUCCCUGUUGUGACACGGAGGGGACCGUGAGCCCUGGUGCCCUGCAGAGCUUGGCUCCUGCGGAACGGGAUGACCCUCACCCUACACCCCCAGCCUACGUGGGCAGAUUUAUCUAGAACUUUCUCCUGUCUCCAAAGAUAAAAUCAUCUCCCCUAAAGUGCUCUUGAGGAGUCAGUUUUCCUGAUACUCUCUUCCUGUCUGGAGAUGGCCUCAAUGUUUAGCGUUGAUUUAAGUACAAAAUGGACUUUUGCUUCUUCAUCUUCCAAGACCCCCCAAGUUUGCAGCGAUUCGUCUAAACUAGGUUAGAAGUCAACCCCAGAGUCUUUGUAGAUAAACGUUGACCUCAGAAGACAGGCAUUGUAUUUGUCUCUUGCCAACAGGCUUUGGGAGCCUCAGAAUUGGAGGGGAUGAGCAGAUUUAACACCCCUUGAGGACCAAUGUAUUGGGUUGAACCAUUAGAAAUUACUGUGUGUGCAGAUCAAAAAGGGUCCAACCCCCACAAUUUCAUUGGUCCAACUCUACCCCUGGAAGCCUUCCUUCCAGGUGCCCCUGCCCGAUGGAGCAGCUCGCCCACCCCUCAGGCUUCCUUCCGGAAGGGUGUCACCUCUCCUCUCUCCAUCCGUGGUUCUCACACAACACCCAAGCUCCGCUGGGAGCAGAUGCACAUCCACCCAGUCCUGUCACCACAGAUGGGAGGCUUCCUUUGCUGAAUGGCCUUCCUCGGAAUUCCAGCCUCCUCCCCAAAUGGACACACAAAAUGCCCAGCACACGAGCCGGCUCACAACAGUCAGCCUUUUGUUCAUUUGUUCCACAAGCAGAGCAAUCCCAGGUCUUUAGGACUCACUGUUCAGGGCUACACUGAGCUCCUCACUGACUUUCCCAAAGAUAUAAAAGUAUAGACGCCAGAACAUCAUCCUUUCGAGCCUCUGUACCCUCAGAAUUGUGAGGCAAAGAGGUUAAGUAGGGCUCCAAGGAGUGAACCUCUGGUGUGAAAUUCCAGCCACCAGAGCAGGGGGACUGCUUGGAAACACUCGCCCUCCUUCCUGGGCUGGAAUAGUUCCCUUACGCUACUAGGGGGCAUGAUGCCACUGACCAGGUAAUAGGACCUUUCCCUGACGCUUGGUCAUUUUUAUCUUAAUCUUAACUCUUACUGGUGUCUGUCACAUUCCAAUGGAAAUCCGACUAACCCUCCCGCCAUCUUCCUGGCUGAAGGGGAGUGGAAAUGGGAACGUUUCUGUGGGACACGGGGCGUGGGAAACAGUGAGGGGUAGAAGCGAAGAGCCCGUCAGAUCCCGGAUCCACCUCCUGCUAGCUGUGUGAUCUUGAUUAAGUUACUUCAGCCCUCUGAACAUCUGCUUCAUCAUCUCUAAGUUGCGGGGGAUGGUACCUUAACUUACAGGGUUAUUGUGAGGAUUAAAUGAAUUGAUACAGGUGAAGGACUUGGGCAGAGCCUGCUUCCUAAGGAGUGCUAGGCAAUUUUACUAGACUUUUUGCUUUUUAUUAAGGUAUAAUUAACAUGCAGUGAAAUUCAUCCUUUUUAGCGUACAGUUCUGCAAGUUUUGAGAUAUGUUUGGAGUCACAUCACCCCACCACAAAUGAGAUGGAGAACAGGUCCGUCACCAAAAGCUCCCAUGCUUCUGUGUAGUCAAUUCCUUCCCCAGGCCUAAAAAAUACUGACCUGUUUCCUGUCCCCAUAAUUUUGCCUUUUCCAGAAGGUCAUGUAAGUGGUAUUGCAUACGAUGUACUCUUUCAAGUCUGGCUUCUCAAUUAGCACAAUGCAUUUGAGAUUGAGCCAUGCUGUUGUGUCUGUCACAGUUCAUUCCUCUUUAUUGCUCAGUGAUAUUCCACCCGAACCAUACUUUGUUUAUUAAUUUGUCAGUAGAAUGACAUUUGACUUGUUUCCAGGUCUUGGAAUUACAAAUAAAGCCACUGUCAACAUUGACAUACAAGUUUUUGGAUGAAUAUAAAUUUUCAUUUCAUUUAGGUAAAUAUCUAAAGGUUGUACUCAUGGAGUUCUGGGAAGACUGAAGGAGGUAAAGAAGAAAUCAAAUAAAAAUCAAAAUGAAAAACUAUCAGUUCUGGGCAAAACCCUUCAAACUGUGGGAAGAUCUUCAGGACAUUCUUUCCAGUAAAUGGAAGAGGAGGAGCAUGGCUCAGAAGAGGCGCAGAGCGGUCAGCACGGCCGCCAGCUCCGAGGGGCUCCCUACAGCAGGAAACCCACCCACCCACCCCACCCUCAGGAAUAAAGGACUUAUGUAGACACACAGGUAUGGUUAGCCACCCAUAGAAGGAGAGCUGUUUCGUUCAUGAAAUCCGAAGAAGAGUUCACUUAUUUAGACCAUUUAUUUAGACGUCAAGCUAGAGGGUAU
rnacentral:lncRNA from 1 species